rnacentral:piRNA from 1 species
GAAAAUACUACUUUGAAGGUGCUGCCU